CGAUGAAGACCGGUGCUUGCACUGGUUGGAUUAGUGGCGAACGGGUGAGUAAUACGUGAGUAACCUGCCUUUGACUCUGGGAUAAGCCUUGGAAACGAGGUCUAAUACCGGAUAUGACACAGUUUCGCAUGAAAUCUGUGUGGAAAGGGUUUGUACUGGUUUUAGAUGGGCUCACGGCCUAUCAGCUUGUUGGUGAGGUAAUGGCUCACCAAGGCGACGACGGGUAGCCGGCCUGAGAGGGUGACCGGCCACACUGGGACUGAGACACGGCCCAGACUCCUACGGGAGGCAGCAGUGGGGAAUAUUGCACAAUGGGCGCAAGCCUGAUGCAGCGACGCCGCGUGAGGGAUGACGGCCUUCGGGUUGUAAACCUCUUUCAGCAGGGGAGAAGCGAAAGUGACGGUACCUGCAGAAGAAGCGCCGGCUAACUACGUGCCAGCAGCCGCGGUAAUACGUAGGGCGCGAGCGUUGUCCGGAAUUAUUGGGCGUAAAGAGCUUGUAGGCGGUUUGUCGCGUCUGCUGUGAAAGCCCGGGGCUUAACUCCGGGUUUGCAGUGGGUACGGGCUAACUAGAGUGCAGUAGGGGAGACUGGAAUUCCUGGUGUAG
rnacentral:rRNA from 1 species